rnacentral:rRNA from 1 species
GUGCCAGCGCGGUAAUACGUAGGGUGCAAGCGUUAAUCGGAAUUACUGGGCGUAAAGCGUGCGCAGGCGGUGAUGUAAGACAGGUGUGAAAUCCCCGGGCUUAACCUGGGAACUGCAUUUGUGACUGCAUCGCUGGAGUGCGGCAGAGGGGGAUGGAAUUCCGCGUGUAGCAGUGAAAUGCGUAGAUAUGCGGAGGAACACCGAUGGCGAAGGCAAUCCCCUGGGCCUGCACUGACGCUCAUGCACGAAAGCGUGGGGAGCAAACAGG